CCUAGAUAAAGGGUUGCCAAGGGAACCUGGGA
rnacentral:piRNA from 1 species